rnacentral:rRNA from 1 species
GGGCCCGCACAAGCGGUGGAGCAUGUGGUUUAAUUCGAUGAUACGCGAGGAACCUUACCAGGGCUUAAAUGUAGUGGGACAGGUCUAGAGAUAGACCCUUCUUCGGACUCAUUACAAGGUGCUGCAUGGUUGUCGUCAGCUCGUGCCGUGAGGUGUCAGGUUAAGUCCUAUAACGAGCGCAACCCCUAUCGUUAGUUGCCAGCGAGUAAUGUCGGGAACUCUAACGAAACUGCCAGUGCAAACUGUGAGGAAGGUGGGGAUGACGUCAAAUCAUCACGGCCCUUACGUCCUGGGCUACACACGUGCUACAAUGGCCGGUACAGAGAGCAGCCACUUCGCAAGAAGGAGCGAAUCUAUUAAAACCGGUCUCAGUUCGGAUUGUCGUCUGCAACUCGACGGCAUGAAGUCGGAAUC